CGUUCCCAGUCGUGUGCGAUGGCUAGGGUUUGUCUCACUCCUUUCUCUCCCUCGCUCCCUUGCGUCGCCGCCGCCACCGCCGCCGCUCCCUCCCAUUCUCAGCCCGUGCUCUUGCCUCUCUUCCUCACCUCCCUUGCGCCACCACCCGUCGGGAAGCACCGCGGCCGCUGUUGCUCCGCGCCGCUGCUCCUGAGCCGAGCUCCUACGUCGGCAUCACCGUGAGGAGCAUGGCCUGCUGAGACGGCCGUCCAUGUCGCCGUUGCGGCCGUUCUUCGCGCCAUCGGUGGAUUGGGUGAACCCUAGCCGCCCCUCUCUCCCUCUCUCCCUCUCUCCUUCUCAGCCUGUGCUCUGUCCUCUCUUCCUCGCCUCCCCUCGCCGCCACCCGUCGGGAAGCGUUGCGGCUGCUCCUCCGCGCCACUCCUCCUCCUCCCGGAUGAGUGUGCCGUUGCGCCAUCGAAGGAAGGGGCGCCAGGAGCCAAUGGCAAGGAGGCCUCCCUUGUGCCAGCCCCUCGCGGCCAUGAAGGACGGCUGAGCCAUCAGGAGCGGCGGUGGUGGCCUGAUAUGGACGCACCUGUGGCUUCCCGUGGUGCUCCACUUGUGCUCCCUCCUCGUCACCCAGGACCUGGAACGCACCGACGGAUCUCAUGGAGGCCAAACGGAUCCCGGUUCGGUUGUUCCGAUGCGUGAUGACGCGAUGUUCUUCCCAAAAUUGAUUAUCUCGUGUUAGUUACUGCCUACAGGCUUGUACGCAGUCUGCUGCCAACACCUCCUCGCGUGUGCGACACCUCCAAUUCCAGAAGUCACAAGCUCGGCUCUCAAAGGAUCGAGCAGAGGCAGGGCCUCAGCGACCGGAGGCAGCCGGCAGCGGCUCGGCGCGGCAACUACCGGAUCGACAGAAGAUUGAGUGCACAUUGAGUUCAUACAUUCAGGUUGUUGCGGCCAGCACGACACCGGUAGUUUCUCUACAAAUGAGAAGGUUACCAAUGGCCGUGGGAAUAGCUCAAUUGGCUAAUCCAGGGGGUGUGAGCACAUCUUCGUUGUCCUCUGCAGUGACAAGGUUUCUGUGAAGAACAGGCAGGUUAAAGCCAAGAGCAACUACAACAUUGAGAAGCCCUUCAUUUACCUUGCAAGGAAGUUGGGAGCUGGCUGGCACAAAACUAAGCCUGUGGCUACAACCACUGCUUGAUGACAAUGACAAUCUGAUCGAGUAGAUCGAUCAUGAGUUUUAUCAUACUUUGAGCCAGAGUUUAUGAUGUAGAUGCAAGUACUUGCCUUGCCUAUUAUAUUUUGGCAGGUUAUUACAACCAUAGAGUUUUAAGGUGUUUCCGCUCUGUUUCACGUUUUACAGUAAAUACAUGUUAAUCCAAAAAUUGUUAUUUAGUGUUGAUGGGCAAUAUUUGCAUUUUUUCGCAAAAAAUUGUGUCUCUCUUGUCUCCCCCACUCUCCUUUCUUUCCUCAACAUUCCAUCCCAAAUCAAGAGGUAAACCGUCCCAACCCCUUUCAAGUGAUUAUCUAUAUGCCACCACAUUCGGUCAGUCAACAUUCAUACUUGGCAGGGAGUCUUCGAUGGUUCGUCUGCCUCAUCGGCGUUCAACAGGGGUGCGAAGAGAUCCUGACCAGCUCAACGGACAUCCCCGCUCACUCCUCUGCAACGAUUUUUAAGCUAUUAUGGUACGGCAUUGGUGUCAUCGCGAAAAAGAUUCUGAAACUAACUCCUAAAGAUCUCAAACAGGGACAUGGAAAGUAUAUGCUGUCAAAAUAUUAUUCCUAGAAGAUGUCAGCAAAUCCAGUCUGGUACAAGGCAAUAGUAAGUUUUGGUGUACAUUGUGGUAGUUACUUGUAUUUUGAUCUAUGGUGGUGUUCGAGGCCAUAGAAUACAUUAUUAUUCAGUUUUUCUUAGUAAAUCUAAGAUUCUCCCUAAAUUUUAUCUACUACAAUGGCUUUGAAAAGUUAGUGUUCUCUGAAAUAUUGUUGGUUUUGUUAAAUAGGUGGCCCUCUUAGCAUGGCUAUGGGAGUACUCAAGACAGCCUUUCCCUUCAAGAGAUCGUGCAAGAGUUUAUUUUGUUUUAUUUUGAAAGAUUAUGAUGUCUUUCCCUUGAAGGAUUAUGAUGUCUUUCAAAUCGAUCAUGUUCUGGCUGUUAUGGCAUAUUUCUGAUCAAACAUGGUCUCAUUUGCUGCAAGGAGCCUUAAAGAUGCCCUUGGUCAUAUGUUAAUAAAUUUAACAUGUAUUAGAAAAGAAUAGCAUGUAGGUUGAUGAUAUUGUCUUUCAAAAUUGAUACUUAGAAUAAUAGUGUACCGUCAAAAUUAUAGCUUGGUCUUACCAUGUCACCUGGUCUAAAUUUAGUGUGUACAUCACUUUUUUGUUUUCAGUAAGUUUCUAGCAUUUCUACAUGCAUCUCUCUGUAGCCUAGACAUAGUAAACUACUGAUGCUAUUCCAAACACAAGCUCAAGCAAGUUCAAUAAAUUAUAUAUUUUUAUUAGUAUAAUCAGCAUGAGAUACACCUUGAUUUCAUCACUUGGUUUACUGUCUGCAUAUUUGUUUCAAUGCAGGUACCAUCAAUGUCCUAGAAGUUGUAGCUUCCAGCCUUUAGUAACUACACAAAAACUGCCAAAGCUUCAGAGCCAUCAUGUGAGUAUGAGUAAACACAGGUCGAGUUGCAAGAGGACCCUCUCAUGGCCUAUUUCAGUUGGGAACUUGUAUUAAGAUGUACUUGAGCUACAUAAAGUUUGAGGGUUAAUUUUCGAUGGAUUUGUAUGCCUUGAUCAGGUAUUAGGAUCAUGGUUAUUUGUGCUAUAUGUAUAGAGGCACCUCUUUAUUGGAAAAAAAGUAUAGAUGCACCUAUGAUAUAGUGGAGAUUGAUGAGCAGCACCACAUCCAAGUGAACCUGAGUGGGAACCUGUUUCCACCGAGAGACUACCGGGACUUUGAUGCUAGCUAGCUACUUCACUUCACAAUCUCUGCAAACUACUAUUAAUUGUAUGAAUCCCUUUGUCUAUAUAAUUGCUGAACUACCAUAUUUGAUUUGUGACAA